CAUGGUGUGGUGACCCCCCCUCCCCCACCACAAAACUAUUUUGUUACUACUUCAUCACUGUAAUUUUUCUGCUGUUAUGAAUUGUAAUUUAAAUAUUUUUUUGGAGAUAGAACUUUGCCAAAGGGGUUGAGACCCACUGCAAGAGGCAGAACUUGAUCUCAUCUCUUGGAGAGGCAAGAGCCCUUCUAGUUGGGGAACAGUGCGGGGGAUCAUGGCCUUCUGUGGAAUUAGGACCAACCUCAUCUAAGGCCAUCAGAACCAGUGUUGACUUGGACCCCAAGGUCAAAUGGCCACAUUUGGUAUAGAAGCAGUCAUUGUCCCACGUGGCCCUUUGUGCCUCCCAUGAUAUCCCCCAUCUCUGAUGCAUACUAUCUGUUCCAAAGGCUCUUUAGAAUUCUGAGGAGAUUCAACUAAUUCCCUAACUCCACUCUGAUUCCAUGGACCAUGCUAGGAUGCUCUCCAGGGUAAACCAGUCUCUUGCUAUCCCACCUGGAGCAUCUCUAGAUCCAUUAAGCUGCACCUGGGCCCAAGGAAUGUGUGAUGUAGAGGCUCACCAGGUAGCCUUGGGAUCCAUGGACACACAGCAGACCCUGCCUUCCCUCCAUCCUCAGAAGCCUAUGUCCCAUGCAAUUGGAAACCACUGGAUAUUAAAGCCAGAGUGGAGCUAUUGGUCAACAGUUGGGGAGUUUGCUAUGGACAGAUUUCUUAAUGGGUUUCAGGCUUUGGAGAUAAACAUAUUAACAAGCUACAACUACUGUUUGGGAGAAAGCAUUUCCGACUGAUGAAUAUUCAGACUUUCUGUGCAUACUUUUCUAAAGAGUUUCUGUUCUGGGGUAGGCAGCAGAGACUCAUUCAUGAUUGUGACAUUACAGUCACUAACAGCACUGGAACGAACUGGUUACAGUGGGUGAUCCCAAACUGGGCAUACAGUUAGUGGUAGUGUCAUGCCUAUUUGUCUCUGUUCCUUGGUGGCACUGUGCCUCCUGGUGACCUGUUCAUUCCAAAUGUUAAUGGCUGUUUGGGUAAAAUGAAUGAAUGAAUGAAUAAAUAAAUAAAUAAAUAAAUAAAUAAAUCCACUAUGGGUUGGGGAAUUGUAGAUAAUUUGGUUUUGCUUGCUCCAAGUGUUUAAAACUUCAAAGUGACGGUACUGGUUCUUUGUCAUGCUGCUGUGACAAAAUACCCAAGGGGGAUGGAGAGAUGGCUCAGUGAUUAAGAACAUUGGCUGUACUUCCAGAGGACCUGGGUUCAAUUCCCAGCAGCCACAUGGUGGCUCACAACUUUCUGUAACCCCAGUGCUGGUGAUCUGAUGCCCUCUUCUGGUUACCACAAACACAUACAUCAUGUACAUGCAUGCACAUGUGUACACACACAAACGUGUACACACACACACACACACACACACACACACACACGCACGCACGCACUUUAAAAUAAAAUACAGUACAUGCCCAGCAAAAGAAUCUUAAGAAGGGAGGAUUUGUUCUGGCUUACAGUACCAGGGGAGAAUACAGUCUACUGUAACAGAGAAGGCAUGGUCAUAGGAGCUGUGUGGCAGCUGGCCACAUUGUCUCUGCAAUCAGGAGACAGUGACAGUCCAUGCCCCCAGCCCAUGGGAUCGAGCCUCGCACAAUUCAGAUCCUGUCACGCUGACAAUGUCAACCAUCACAGCGAUCCUGUCGAAACUCAUCAAGAAACCCGCAAAGUGACAUAUUAUUAUGACUUUUAACUGGUGUAUGAUUGGUAAUCUGGGAGUGUUUAGAAACCUUGGGACUUGUUGAUAGACGUGGGGGGAAAAAGUGUUCUUUAGGCUUCUCUCGAGCCAAAUAAAAAUACAGCAAACGUAUACAGGAGAAGCACAGCCUUCUAUGAUAGACUGGGACUGGGAUGGCUGAGAGAGAGAGGAGGGGGCUUAAGCUGGCUUAUGGAAUCAAUGAAAUUGACCUGGAGAAAGCCGUGCUCCUCCCAGGUGACAGCAGCCUUUAGUCUAAGCAGACUCAUUAGCGACAGCUCAUUGAUGUCCCUGGGGAGGGAGAGACUGUCCAGCCACCUGGUGACAAGACACUGGCUCAUCCCUGAGUGCCACCUUCCACAGCAGAGGAAGGGUUUUCUUUUUCUAUUCUCUGCUUCUGAAUGCCCAGCCCUGCUGGUGUACCGGUGGAACUGGCUUCCUGCUCUGCUAAGGACCAACGUCAUAACAUGAUGUGUCAGCUGAGUUUCUUUCU
rnacentral:lncRNA from 1 species